CCUACGGGAGGCAGCAGUGAGGAAUAUUGGUCAAUGGGCGCGAGCCUGAACCAGCCAAGUCGCGUGAGGGAGUACUGCCCUAUGGGUUGUAAACCUCUUUUGUCGGGGAGCAAAAGCCGGACGUGUCCGGCUGUGAGAGUACCCGAAGAAAACGCAUCGGCUAACUCCGUGCCAGCAGCCGCGGUAAUACGGAGGAUGCGAGCGUUAUCCGGAUUUAUUGGGGUUAAAGGGUGCGCAGGCGGAUUUUUAAGUCAGCGGUCAAAUCGUGGGGCUCAACCCCAUCCAGCCGUUGAAACUGGGGAUCUAGAGUGUGCGAGAGGUAUGCGGAAUGCGUGGUGUAGCGGUGAAAUGCAUAGAUAUCACGCAGAACCCCGAUUGCGAAGGCAGCAUACCGGUGCACAACUGACGCUCAGGCACGAAAGCGUGGGUAUCGAACAGGAUUAGAUACCCUGGUAGUC
rnacentral:rRNA from 1 species